AUUGAACGCUGGCGGCAGGCCUAACACAUGCAAGUCGAGCGCGCGGCGGGCGGGUGAGUAAUGUCUGGGAAACUGCCUGAUGGAGAGGGAUAACAACUGGAAACGGUAUCUAAUACCGCAUACCAUCAGAUGUGCCCAGAUGGGGUUAGCUAGUAUGUGGGGUAAUGGCUCACCUCGGAGACGAUCCCUAGCUGGUCUGAGAGGUUGACCAGCCACACUGGGACUGAGACACGGUCCAGACUCCUACGGGAGGCAGCAGUGGGGAAUAUUGCACAAUGGGCGCAAGCCUGAUGCAGCCAUGCCGCGUGUAUGAAGAAGGCCUUCGGGUUGUAAAGUACUUUCAGCGGGGAGGCGUUACCCGCAGAAGAAGCACCGGCUAACUCCGUGCCAGCAGCCGCGGUAAUAC
rnacentral:rRNA from 1 species